GUUUAAUUAAAUAAUAAAUGUAAGCUAUUACUAGCAUAACUUACCUCAUUAAAACUUACUUGGGGACAUUUAUAAACUAUAUCAUGCUAUUAGGGAAAAAGGUUUAAUAAAUUUAAUAUCAGUUAUUCUAUGAACUUUAUCAUUUCACCAUAUUUUUGGUAGAUGACUGUGGGAAAUGUUACUACAACCCUGAGUAAAUAUUUUUAUGAAUACAACAUUGACAUUAGGUGGGAUAAUACUAAAAUAAUAGUUCUGUGUGACACCCUUGAAGAUCACUUGGAAUCCAUGGAAAUUUUAAAAAGUACCUCUUUUGGUAAAAUAAUUAAUGAGCAGAUCUCAAAAACCUGGAUAUAUAUAGCAUAUGCAAUAACAUUUGCUUGUAUUGCUUUUAAUUUGUAUAGCAUGUUAACAUUGAUUUAUA
rnacentral:lncRNA from 1 species